UACGGAGGGGUUAGCGUUGUUCGGAAUUACUGGACGUAAAGCGCACGUAGGCGGAUUGGAAAGUUGGGGUGAAAUCCCGGGGCUCAACCCGGAACUGCCUCCAAACUUCCAGUCUGGAGUUCGAGAGAGGUGAGUGGAAUUCCGAGUGUAGAGGUGAAAUUCGUAGAUAUUCGGAGGAACACCAGUGGCGAAGGCGGCUCACUGGCUCGGUACUGACGCUGAGGUGCGAAAGUGUGGGGAGCAAACAGGAUUAGAUACCCCGGUAGU
rnacentral:rRNA from 1 species